ensembl:rRNA 5S_rRNA 5S ribosomal RNA
UACCCCAGCCUCACCAGCCCAAAGACUCCUUGUCCCUUCUGACCUCAGAAGCCAAGUGGGGUUAGGGUGCGUUCACUACUUGGAUGAGAGUAUUGUGGCUUUUCCUUAAGGUAAGGCAUACUGCUAGGGAGU